rnacentral:tRNA from 1 species
UCCCUGAUAGCUCAGUUGGUAGAGCAAGCGGCUGUUAACCGCUGGGUCGUAGGUUCGAGUCCUACUCGGGGAG